GCCUUGGCAAUGAUAGGCGACGAAGGACGUGAUAGCCUGCGAUAAGCUUCGGGGAGCUGGCAAAUGAGCUUUGAUCCGGAGAUUUCCGAAUGGGGAAACCCACCUGCAAAGGUAUCGCAUACUCAAUACAUAGGUAUGCGAGGCGAACCGGGUGAACUGAAACAUCUCAGUAGCUCGAGGAAAAGACAUCAACCGAGAUUCCGAAAGUAGUGGCGAGCGAAAUCGGAGAAGCCUGUUAGUGAAGCACAAGACAUAACGGAACAUUCUGGAAAGGGUGGCCAUAGCGGGUGAUAGCCCCGUACGUGAAAUGACCUGUGUGGUACUGAGCUAACGAAAAGUAGGGCGGGACACGAGAAAUCCUGUCUGAAUAUGGGGGGACCAUCCUCCAAGGCUAAAUACUCAUCAUUGACCGAUAGUGAACUAGUACCGUGAGGGAAAGGCGAAAAGAACCCCGGGAGGGGAGUGAAAUAGAUCCUGAAACCGUGUGCUUACAAAAAGUAGGAGCCCGCAAGGGUGACUGCGUACC
rnacentral:rRNA from 1 species